rnacentral:rRNA from 1 species
UACGGAGGGAGCUAGCGUUGUUCGGAAUUACUGGGCGUAAAGCGCACGUAGGCGGAUACUUAAGUCAGGGGUGAAAUCCCGGGGCUCAACCCCGGAACUGCCUUUGAUACUGGGUAUCUCGAGUCCGGAAGAGGUGAGUGGAAUUCCGAGUGUAGAGGUGAAAUUCGUAGAUAUUCGGAGGAACACCAGAGGCGAAGGCGGCGACCUGGACAAGCACUGACACUCAACUACGAAAGCGUGGGUAGCAAACAGG